UACGUAGGUGGCAAGCGUUAUCCGGAAUUAUUGGGCGUAAAGCGCGCGUAGGCGGCGAGAUUAGUCUGAUGUGAAAGCCCCCGGCUCAACCGGGGAAGGUCAUUGGAAACUGUUUCGCUUGAGUGCAGAAGAGGAGAGUGGAAUUCCAUGUGUAGCGGUGAAAUGCGCAGAGAUAUGGAGGAACACCAGUGGCGAAGGCGACUUACUGGUCUGUGAUUGACGUUGAGGCUCGAAAGCGUGGGUAGCGAACAGG
rnacentral:rRNA from 1 species